rnacentral:rRNA from 1 species
AUAAGAGGUCUAGCCUGCCCAGUGACAUUGUUCAACGGCCGCGGUAUCCUAACCGUGCGAAGGUAGCGUAAUCACUUGUUCUUUAAAUGAGGACUAGUAUGAAAGGCAUCACGAGAGUCAUACUGUCUCCUUUCUCUAAUCAGUGAAACUAAUCCCCCCGUGAAGAAGCGGGGAUAGAAAUAUAAGACGAGAAGACCCUAUGGAGCUUUAAACACAUAAUAUAUGCCCUUUUAACUUCAAAUUCCAGAAAAAUCUCUUAUCUUGGUAUAAUAACUAAUAGUUUUUGGUUGGGGUGACCACGGAAUAAAAAACAACUUCCACAAUGAAAGAUUCUCCUUCACUAAGUUAAGGACUACAACCCUAUACAUCAAUAAAUUGACAUAAUUGACCCAACAUAUUGAUCAAUGAACCAAGUUACCCUAGGGAUAACAGCGCAAUCCACUUUAAGAGCUCUUAUCGACAAGUGGGCUUACGACCUCGAUGUUGGAUCAGGGUACCCCAGUGGUGCAGCCGCUACUAAAGGUUCGUUUGUUCAACGAUUAAAACCCUACGUGAUCUGAGUUCAGACCGGAGUAAUCCAGGUCAGUUUCUAUCUAUAAAGAGCUUUUUUUAGUACGAAAGGACCAAAAAAGCAUGGCCAAUGCUUCAAUAAGCCAUACCAUUCAUUUAUGAAUUUAU